rnacentral:rRNA from 1 species
GGGGAAUAUUGCACAAUGGGCGCAAGCCUGAUGCAGCCAUGCCGCGUGUGUGAAGAAGGCCUUCGGGUUGUAAAGCACUUUCAGCGGGGAGGAAGGCGGUCAGGUUAAUAACCUCAUCGAUUGACGUUACCCGCAGAAGAAGCACCGGCUAACUCCGUGCCAGCAGCCGCGGUAAUACGGAGGGUGCAAGCGUUAAUCGGAAUUACUGGGCGUAAAGCGCACGCAGGCGGUCUGUCAAGUCGGAUGCGAAAUCCCCGGGCUCAACCUGGGAACUGCAUCUGAUACUGGCAAGCUUGAGUCUCGUAGAGGGGGGUAGAAUUCCAGGUGUAGCGGUGAAAUGCGUAGAGAUCUGGAGGAAUACCGGUGGCGAAGGCGGCCCCCUGGACGAAGACUGACGCUCAGGUGCGAAAGCGUGGGGAGCAAAC